UCAGGAGAACGGCUGGCGGCGUGCCUAAUACAUGCAAGUCGAGCGACGAAUCGAAAGCUUGCUUUUGAUUCGUUAGCGGCGGACGGGUGAGUAACACGUGGGCAACCUGCCCUGUAGACGGGGAUAACACCGAGAAAUCGGUGCUAAUACCGGAUAACACGAAAUGUCGCAUGACGUUUCGUUGAAAGACGGCGCAAGCUGUCGCUACAGGAUGGGCCCGCGGCGCAUUAGCUAGUUGGUGAGGUAACGGCUCACCAAGGCGACGAUGCGUAGCCGACCUGAGAGGGUGAUCGGCCACACUGGGACUGAGACACGGCCCAGACUCCUACGGGAGGCAGCAGUAGGGAAUCUUCCGCAAUGGACGAAAGUCUGACGGAGCAACGCCGCGUGAGCGAAGAAGGCCUUCGGGUCGUAAAGCUCUGUUGUUAGGGAAGAACAAGUAACGCAGUAACUGGCGUUACCGUGACGGUACCUAACGAGAAAGCCACGGCUAACUACGUG
rnacentral:rRNA from 1 species